CAUCACCAUAUUGCUAUGAUUGUUCAUUGGUUUAUUUACCAUGAUUUCUUUUUUCAACUUUAGCUAAAGGACCGUUCAAAGACAGUGGCAUACACCAUUCUUUAGACAUCUAGCAUGGAUCAAAGAACUUGAGCAAAAGACUUGUAGCGGCAGGGCAGCAAAAGGGAUGCUGUGACUUACUGACAUGGAGCAAAGAUGUCUGCAACCAUUUCUGGCAUUGUUGCAAAGCUGCAAGCUGUUAUGAAGAGUUCAUGGACCUGUGGAUGGGACUCCUGCACCACGUCACAGGAGAACAUGAGUGGGCCCUUGGUGCCUGCCACCACGGCCCUUUGGAGGACAGCAGAGAGAAAGACUGGAUACAACAGGGCAGUUUGGCACACCAGAGAUUGUGGGAAAUUGUUCUUGAGGCAAGCUGGCUGAAGAACAUCGUCAAGUAUCUGCGUUUCAGCACAGGCCUCUCCACCCACAGACUAGGCCCCACAGUGUUGCAGCAUGUGCCUGACCUACUAGCCAGCACUGACCAGAUGCAUCAGCUAUGAGGAAACAGUUUCCCUGAAAUUGUACAUAGUUGUAUUUAAGAUUUUGUAUUUUUUUAUUAGUAUUAUAUGGUUGUUUUUGUUUGUUUGUUUCCCCCCAAAUAUCUCAAUAAACAGUUGUUAACACAA